UCUCUCUCUCUCUCCCCCCCCCCUCUUCUCUCUCUCCCUCCUAAUAUAUCUACGGUAGUUACCAUUUUAUUUUGAAAAUUAUUUUCAUGCAUUUUUUUUGUUUUGUUUUGGAUAGACCGAUAUUGUUAGUGGAUUAACUCAGAAAAAGAGAGAAGGUAGUCUAUGAGAAUUGAACUCACAUUAAGGUACAUAGACAUAAUUGCUUUCAGCAUAAUUGUUUUCCACCAUUACAGUAAAGUGUUAUUUGUUUUUUAUUUAUAUUUUCCCAACGUAUGCCUACAGACUUUGUGUGUGAAUUUUUUUCAUUUUUAUUUUUAAAAUGAGAAGGAGAGAGGGUGACAAAGAAAGUGGGAGCGGGAGUGGAAUUACAUUACUGGCCAUAAAAAAAAAUUUGUGAUAGAAGACUAAAUAGUCAAUCACCCUCUUUUGGUUGACAAAGGGAGUUUUAUUAUUAAUUAAUACUAGAGAGACCAAAAUUUUAAACUAAAUUUAUAAACCAAAUGAUCUGUCACUAUUUAGAAAUAAGCAUGUUAAUCAAUAUUUAAAUAACAAUCAUCAACAACCACAUCAUUUGAUUUGCAAAUUUAGUUUAAAAAAUUUGGUGUCUCAAACAUUAUCCUUUUCUUAAUAGUAGUUUAGAUUAAUAACUAUCAAUUACUAUUGUUCAUAUCAAAUAGAAAUGUAUCAUAUCCAUUCCCAUAAAGGUCAUAACCGUAAAAAUUAGUUAUAUUUAUAAUUACUAAAUUAACAAAGUCUCAUUAAUUAACGAGUCCAUUUCAUCAAUAAAUAUUUUUUUUUUCUUAUAAUUAAUGAAACAAAUGUUUGAUUACAUGAUGUCAAGCAACAUUAACAAAAAAUUAUGAAUGAACGUAAAAUAUUAUCAACCUAACCAUAAAACGUCCACAUCCAAAACCAAAAACUAUAAAAAAGGUCGUACCCAGUGCACAAGGCUCCCGCUUUACGCAAGGUCUGGGAGAGGUGAAUGUCGGCUAGCCUUACCCCCAUUUAUGGAGAGGCUGCUCCCAAGUCUCGAACCCGAGACCUACCGCUCAUGGGCAAAGGUACUUGCCAUCGCAAAACCAAAAACUAUGAUUAAAAAAAAAGUGUAUAACCAAACAAUAUUGAAAUAUAGGCAUAGCUUUUAGUUUUGGUUCUGAUUAAAUUCUUGAUUUGAUAGUAUUUUAUUUUUACUAUAAUUAGAGAAAGAACAAUAUAUUAGAUAACUGCAUCUUCUGUCCCGAAACACAAUCUUUAAACCCUAAAUCAAGAAUUUGGUAUUGGAAAACCAUGAACUCGCAACUUAAUACAAAGAAUGAUGUAAAAUCCUUGAUGUGCUAACAUUAAGUUUCGACAUUGUGAAAAAAAAAAUAAUAAUAAUAAUUUCUAGCCAUCUAGAACGAAAAACAAAGAAAAAUCUUGUCUUCGGCAGGCACCCGUGUUUGGUCCUUGUUUGUCUCCUCUCUCUCCUCUUCUUCUUACUCAUGUUUUUAUGCUAAAAUUGUCGCCAUCAAAGUAGUCGUUGGGAAUUAUCUGUUUUUUGGCUUACAGCCAUAGCCAACACAAAGGUUUUGGCUCCACUUGUCACCUUCGAUAUGGGUUUGAAGCGCAUGAAAGCUCUUACAGUGUGCCGGGUUUGGGUUUAGUCAGUAAGGUACUAUGGUUUUAGUUGGUGCGAACAUGUGGCUAUCUUCGGGAUACAUACUGGUAGUACUGUUUUGUCCUUUUAGUUUGAUUUUGUUUAAUAGUUUUCAGAAAACUCACUAGGAGUUUGAUGGUUUUGGUUUUCCUGCUUAUGAGAGUUCUUUCAUUUUAGUUUUUUCUUGGUGUGCCGGAUCUCUUUCAUAUCUAUGUGCGAAAUGGUGAAGAUGUUUGAUUUGCUGAGUUUACUUAAAUUGGUGUUCUGGAGCCAUAGUGGUGAUUAAGUGAUGUUCGAUCCAUGAUAUAUCAUAUUGUAUGUCUCAACAUGAUUUCAAUUUUUUUUUGUUCUCAUAUAUGUUGGAAAAAUUAGUUAUUAGUUUAUUUUUGUUUAUAGUUUUCUUGUGGGACAAGGAUGUUAGAAUUUUCUAUAUCCUUUAAGGAUUAGGAUUGUGCCUUAGUUUUCUAUAUCCUUUAAGGAUUAGGGUUUGCUUUAGUUUUCACUAUAUAUAAUAGUGCUUGUAUUAGUUAGUUUUAACAAGUCAGUCACGAUGUAGCCUCUUAGGGUUUUGUAGCCCUUUCGGCAUUCUCGUUUGUUUAAUAAUAUUCUUAUUAUUUUGUUAAUCUUGUUCGUUUCACACUUUGAUAUUCAACUUGGUAUCAGAGUAGGUUUGAUCAUUUGGGAUUUAAUCUGCUUCGGGUUGGUAUCUGUUUGCUUGUUUUCGUUGUCAUUCGUGUUUAGAUUGUUAGUUGGUAUUGAUUGUUUGCAAGAAGAAAAAAAUUGUUCGUUCGGUUUUUGUUUUUUGUCCCGUGACUCUACUUCUGCGCCUUUGAACGCCGCAACCUGAGUAUCCGUAAGUCUGUAUUGCUGCAAAGGAAAAAAAGAGGGAAAAGUAGAAUGGAAUGAAAAAAGAAGGAAAAAAAAGGGGAGUAAAAAAAAAAGGAAGAAACAAGAAAAAAUUGGUUGCUUGUUUGAGGCCCAUGCGGGAAAAAAGAGAAAAAAAGUUUGGUUGGAUUUUUUGUUUGUUUGUUUGGAAGUUGGCGUUGGCAUUGGUAUCGGCAUCAACAUCGGCAUUGGCAUUAGCAUCAGCAUUGGCAUUGGCAGUGGCAUUAGCACUGGAAUUUGGAGUCUUGCAUCCGCAUCUACUUGUUGGCAAACUCAUGACGUGUACCGCCAUGAGUUUGACGGGAGGUGUUGGAAAAAUUAGUUAUUAGCUUAUUUUUGUUUAUGGUUUUCUUGUGGGACAAGGAUGUUAGAAUUUUCUAUAUCCUUUAAGGAUUAGGAUUGUGCUUUACUUUUCUGUAUCUUUUAAGGAUUAGGGUUUGCUUUAGUUUUCACUAUAUAUAAUAGUGCUUGUAUUAGUUAGUUUUAACAAGUCAGUCACGAUGUAGCCUCUUAGGGUUUUGUAGCAUUUUCGGCAUUCUCGUUUGUUUAAUAAUAUUCUUAUUAUUUUGUUAAUCUUGUUCGUUGUGCACUCUGAUAUUCAACUAUAUAAUCACUGUGGGAUAUGAGAAAAGAAAAGAAAUGCAUCGUUUGAUUGAUUGAAUGAACUUUUAAAGAUUCCUUAUCGAUCGAGUUUCUUCAUUCCAAACACUUUACAUGUUUGUUAAGGGAUCGAAAUGAUCAUUAAUUUACUAUCUGUGGCUCUCAACUCAAAGAAGAAAGUGUUGUCUUACCAGUCCAUCUCCUCAUUUAGUAUUUAAAGGUGGCUGUGGCUAUCAGUCUUUGAGGGACCUCCCGGCCACUCCCCCCAAACACCCAUAAAUAUAUCAUCCCACCCAAUGAAAAAGGUGGCAUUGCUUUUUUGUAUAUAAUGUUCAACGUUGUGGUUCACAUUCAGUAUUUUUUUCAACUUUUGUUAUGGUUCAUGUAACAAAAGAUAAGGUUCUCUCUCGUAUCUCUGUUGCAUUUUAAAAUAGAUAGGGUGACGUAGAGCACAUAUAGUUGUUGAGCUUCACACGUGGACUAAUCUGUUCUGAUACUAUAAAGAAAGUUAUGAUUCCACUAUAAAACUAAUUGACAAUAUAGAGAAUAACCCAACUUUAUUUAUAAGUCAUUGCAUAGUUUGGUCCCUCACUGAUGUGGGACUUUAUCCUCACAUUCUCACAAAACUAAUGACUAAUUAAGCCCACUUUAGUGAGGCUUGUUUUAGUUAUUCUCACGUGGUCGGUAUGUGUAUAAUUCACAUAUCGCUCAUCUUGUGAUUGAUCAUGUGAAGCAAUACAAUGUUGCUAUCAUAGAUAGCUUUAGUGGGCAAAAUAAAUAAUACAUGUACAUUAUCGUUGAGGCGUUCCAUACCAAUAAUACAACGACAUGUAUAAAUUUUACACUACAUAACGUCGUAUCAUUGACACAAAACAUCAUAAUAAUUCUGUAUAGAUGCCAUCUAAGUCCAUCUUCCUAAUGGGAUCACAUUUGAUAAAACAAAUAUUGUAUAAUUGCAUUUGUCCCACAUGUGCAAUAAUGUGCGAUAAUGGCUUCAUGGUCCAUAAACUGCAAAAAGCAAAUGGUGACAAGCAAACACAGUUUCCUCAUACGCUCACCACAUAAAACUAUAUUUCAAUUUUAUAAUUAUUAAGUACAGAAUCAUCUACAUUUUUAUUUAUUUAGGGUGCAAAGUUUUGAAACUCGCAUCCAAUUAUCGCACAGCUCAUCUACACCUUUUUUAUUUUAUUUUAUGUUAUUUGUUUUUCCCUUGGCUUUUUCUCAGCUUCUUUUUUGGAGUCAAAUUCAAAGACGCAAGCAAAUAGAAUACAUGCAAUAAUGUAAAGUUCAUAUUAUGUACAUCCCACCUAGUCCGAGAAGGACUUACGUGGUACAAGUUUAUCGAGAAAAGUAAAUUCUAAUAUUACUACUCUUUUCAAUAUGAAUAAAGUAGAAUGUACACUAUUACAUCGAGUCGCUUGACAAGAUAGUUGUGGCUUGUGGUGAAGCACAGAGGUGCAAGGAGGUACGACCACACCUUUAGUUGUCGAAUCAAAUUACUCAAAGAUGUGCGUUUAUGGGCUCAUGCUAAAGUGUUUCAAUCAAUUCCUGUCAAUAUAAGCGAAUACAAUAAAAAAUAUUUUAUUGUAUAGAUGUAUAGAUUUUUGAGAGAGAUACAUACUUAUAAUCGCUCUUAAGACCCACAUUUUCGCCCUUCUGUUGGGCUAUUGCUGCUUUACUGCGGCACUGCUACAUUUUGCCACCCUGCUGCGGCGCUGCUGCGUGCUGCCCUUUUUUAACACCAAAUCAAAACGACGUGGUUUUGAACCUUGGAAGCAAAAUGAAACUGCAAUUCCCUGCUCCCAUCACCAUUCUAUCUCCUACCAAUUGUUCAAUUCAGUUUCCUCAUUUGUCAUUUUUGAUUGAUUAGUUGGAAACAUAUGUUUUCACACACCCAUGAAUCUUUUAAAGGAAUUAGUGAAGAUCGGGAGGCAUAGAAGCUACAAAUUAGUGUAUAAGCUUUUUACAUUUAAUUUGAUGUUACCGGUUGCAACCACUUCUGUGGAGUAAGCAUUUUCUGCUAUAAAUACUAUCAAAACACCACUAUGUAACAAAAUAGGAGAUCAAUGGUUGAGUGAUAGUUUGACUGUUUACAUCGAGAGAGAUGUUUAUGCGUUUAUUGAUAAUGAGCCUAUUAUGCAACAUUUUUUAUAACAUGAAAUCUUCACAUCAACAAUUAUAACUAGGGGUGGAUUUUUUUGCCAAAUUGCCGUACCAACCGAAUUGCCAACCGUGCCAUACCGAUUUUGUGCCAAAUUUUUUGUACCAAUUGGUAAUGGUACGGUAUUGUACCGUACCGAAAUUUCAUGGUACAGUAUUGGUAAUGGAUACCAUUACCACGGUAUUACCGUACCAUACCAAAAAUACAAUAUAAUUUAUAAUUUAUAAAUUAUAUAAUAGAUAAUUAUAUAACACAUAUUUAUAAUAUUCCAAUAAUUUGAAAAUAAAACCCUACUUAUAUUAGUAUUGUUGUUGGUGACUUUGAUAUCUUAAAAUUGUGGAAAUCAAACACAAAAGAGUUCCUAAUUCUUUCACAAAAUAGCCAAAAUAUCUUUGUAACCCCCACUUCUACUGUUGCUAGUGAAAAUGCAUUUAGCCUAGGGAGAAAGGUUGUGGACCCUUUUAGGGUAUCCUUGACUCCUAAAAUAAUGGAGGCACUAGUGCGUACUAGUGGUUGACUUAGGGCAGAUGAAGUAAACUUCUACAAGGAACCAACGAAAUAUAUGCUUCAAUUUUACAAGGAAAUGAAAGAAGAAAAAACAAGAAAGAUAUGCUUUAAUUUUUUUAGUAAAUUUGUUAUUAAAUGGUUUUCAACUUUAAUUUUUCUUGCUACUAAUUAAUAUGCUUUCUUUGUUUGUAAUGUAUGCUUGACACAAACUCAAUCUUCUACAAGUUCAAUGCCUCUUCCAAAAGUUUCGACAUCUCAAGCUUGAAUAACUGAUCAAUGAAUUCUCCUUUUUGAAGUUUACUUCCAAUUUUCAUUUGGUUUGAAACUUUAAUUUCUAUUUGGAUUGUUAACUUCUAUUUGUUUUGGUUCGUAACUUCUAUUUGGAUUGUAAGCUUAAUUUUCAUAUUGAAUCUUGAUGCAUCAUUUGAAUUAUUAUGUGUGUGAAUUGUGAAUAAUGAAUAAUAGAUUAAUUUAAUCUACAAUGUAUGAGAUAAAGGUACAAAAAAAAAAGUUUUGCCCUUGAAUUGGGUUAAAAAAACAAAAACAGAUUUUGUCCCAAACAAAAUGGCAAUUACCAUUGCCAUACCAUGCCAACCGAACUUUUGGCAAUACCGAACUUCGGUAUACCGAAAGUUUGGUACGGUAAUGGUAAUAGAUUUUACUAAACCGAAAGUUUGGUACGGUAAUUGGUACAAGGGUUUUGGUACGGUAACCGUACCGAACCCACCCCUAAUUAUAACUUGUUUGUAUUGAUAAAUUAUGAACGACACUAAUAUUGUCUACUAUCUAAAAAGAUUUGGUUGUCUACAUUUUUCUUAAACCUUGCACCCUUUAAAAUUCCACUCCUUCCCCAAUGGUAGUAACUAGUUGGUUAACACAAUACAAUCGAUCAACCGACCACUCAUGUCCCCAAAAUUUGUCUUAUGUUAUUUGUAUAAUUAAAUGUCCUUGUACCAAACAUUUUUGUGUGUUAUAACUUAUCAAAUUAUGAAUCAAAACUUAGAUUUAAACUAACGGGUUUAAGAAUAAAUUGGUAUCGAAAUCAUGAUUCAAUUGAUUUGAAUUUCAAUAUCUCAAACAUAAGUAAUUCAGGAUUUUCACGUCGUCCUGAGUAGAACUUAUGAUUCACAAAACGUAACAUGGAUAUUGAUAAGAGCACAUAGUUUUACAUAAUCUAUGAGUACGAGCAGAUUCCUGAAAAAUAUGGAAAAGUAUAAGUGCAGUAUCAUCAGGACAAACACUUUCUAGGCAGGCACUGACUCAAAAUUUUAAUGGGAACGCACGACACAGACCAUAAAAACCCUAGAAAAAUUGUUGAGGGCACAAACAAAGGGGAAUGAAACUGGAUCUUCAAUAAUUUCCACUUUAAAUUUAAAAAUUAAAUGGUUUCUUUUAUUUAAUCAUGAAAAUGCAGAAUAAUGGCCACAUAUGUCUGCUUAAAAGCCAGCCUCAGAUAUCACCUACUGUAUAAUUCAGGUGCCUUUUGUUUGUGAGAGUACAGUGGAAGUGUGCGUGGAACACUGGAACUUACCUGGCCAGAGUCGAGUUCCUUCUUCCAGGCACGUAUGAGGAAAAUGUGGAACAUGGGACCGCCUGGCUCUUUUAGUAAUUAAUUUAAUUAUUUUUAAAAGCUAGUAUGUUCUUACCACUUAGUAUUACGACUUAGUGUUAUUCUUCUUUACUUGUAGGUAAGAAUUCUUAGGUUCGAUUCUCGCCAAAGACAAAUUUGAACCAUAUUAUUACUAGCCCAUUGUAAAGAUUAGCCUACUCUCCUACUCUUUUAGUGUAGAUAACAUCGUUUGUUUAAAAAAAAAAAAAAAAAAAAAACCAGUAUGUUUUUUUCACUUGUAUGUUUGAAUCUCUGAGUUUUCAAAUUUUGACUUAGAUUUGAAAUCAAUACAAAUCAAGUCAAAUCUUUAUAAAAUGAUAUGAUUUUGAAACUAUAUCUGUUUAUAUCAUACUUAGGGCCUCUGUAUUUAGACCUCGUAUAAAUACUCGGGGACUUAAAUGUAAUUAUGUAAUAAAGGAAGAGGCAAAUAUGUAAUAAGUGAGGAGCCCUUAUUCUAUAAAAUGACUCAUCACCUUCACAAUUAGAAGAUGACAAUUCCUAGGCCCUCUCACCCCCUCUCAAAGCCUCACUCUCAUUACAGAGGCUCUCAUACUCUCUCCCUCACAAUCCUCUCAGAAAUACAAUAUCAGUGUGGACUUAGCCCAAACAUUGGAGUGAAUCACGAUACAUCUUGUGUUAUUUAUAUUUUUUGCAGAUUCACGGUCUGAUUUACGUUGUUCCAAGACCUCCGAUUUUGUGCAUCAACAUUAUCAUUUCGUCUUUUCAACAUGAUUAGCAAACAAGUUUUUAGAUUUAGUUUCUAAAAUAAACAAAGAAGAAAAAACUUAAUACAACAGCAUAAUUAUCAAACGAUUUCUUAACAAGAGUAAGAAGAAAGUUGAAGUGGAAUAUCAUGAUGUUUGUUGGUAGAAACCUUGUGAACAUCUCCACCAGUUGGUGGAGGGCAAUGGCAAUUGAAGAGCAACGACAAUAAUGUUGCCUCACUAUUCAUUCUAAACAGUAAAUAUCAUUGUGCAAGUCCAUUCGUUUGGAAAGAGGAAGGACAAGGGUAAUUACUAUUCACAAACAAUUUUUUUAUUUUUUUAAUGUUUUCUUCGUCUUAUCUCCACGUAUCAUUAUUGCCGUAAUUUUAUAGUGUAAUUUGUGUGUUGAACUUUGUAAGAUUUUUAAAGUGUGUACAGUAUCUGUAAGUUUUUAAAUUUUUUGGUAAUUUUUAUGAUUUUUUUAAUUUUUUAUAGUUGAUUAAUCCUAAUUGUUGAACUGAACAAUUAUUUUUUAAAUCAAAGGCUCACAGAGAGCCACAUGGGUGGGGAAGUGGAAGAGAUGGUGAACAUUUCACGGAGUGUAACAGUUGACAACAACUCUGGGCUUCAAACAGGGCGCAAGCUCUUGCAGCAGCCUUCAACCCAAUUACCUCUCAUUUUGUAGACUAGUGAAGGAGAUUUUUGGCGUGAAAGGCAACUCAACCCAAUUGUUCUUGCAAUUGGAUGACUGGUGGAGAUGUGGAGCAUUUAAGUUGCAACGUCAGCAACGUCGGCAGCCUAUAUGUGUCGUCGGCAACGACAAUUCCCAUGAUAUUCCGACACGUGUUGCAGAUCCAAACGAAAAAAAUUAAUAAAAAAAAACUUAGGAAAAAGAAAUAUUUAUAAAAUAAUUCUGUGUAAUAAUUAAAAAACCACAAUAAUUGAGGCAACUCGUAUAGGCUAUAAUAAAAUGUUGAAAACGAGGUGUGAAGAUUUCUGGAGGGAGGAUUGGUGGCAUUUGGGAUCCUACUCGACUCCACACAUACAAAAAGUGCAGAGCUUUUUACAUGGAAAAGCAACAUCUUACUAACAAGUUGAAACCAUCUUUUGGUUUUUGAGAGUUGGUUGGAAUCAAAUCUUUAUAGGUAUCAUCAUCCAUGAUGUAUUGGAUUAGAAAACAAGAGCUUAGUUGGACUAAUAGCAAUCUGCCAACUUGUCAUCUUAAUUUUAUACUUAAUUUUGUUGUUUACAUCACUAUGUAGCACGAUUAGUGGUAUUUAUCCUUAUUCGAUGGUAGGAUGACUUAUGUUGACUCUCGUGAACGAUAAGUUCAAACUAAAUUAUUAUGAUGAUUGAUAUAUUAUGUGUCCAAAUCCCCCACUAUUUAGCAUGAAUAUAUUAUUAUUAUUAAAAAAAUAAAGAUGAAACACGACAGUUUAUUAUAUUUAUUUGUUUGUUAUUUUUACUUUUUGAACUGCUUUCGGAAGAAUUACAUGUGAGGGAACAAGAGGCGCUUUUCAAACAAAGAAUAAGCAACGUAAGUUGGUAAUUAUGCUGAUGCGACUACAAAUUGGUUCGAUACAACUCGAGUUAUGAAUAUAUUUUAGGUCAAAGUAGGAGGCUAGAAAGGUGUUGUUACAUGAAGAGAAUGUAAGAGAGCAAUAUUAGCAGUGGCUUGACCUUUAGUAUGCCCUAUGCCUAGCCUAGGGUUGAUUCAAUUUCAACUAUAUGUUUUGGGAAUUAUUAUUAGCAUUCCAAAAAUCUCAUUUAGCACUUCAAACUUUCUAUAAUUAGGAUAAAAAAUAUAAUUGUGAAGAAUUUAGAAUAAGAUUUUUAAAGUACUAAUAACGGUUCCUUAUAUUUUACUCAUCACAAAUUAUAGUAUCUACCAGAUAGUGUGGACCCCAAGGAAUAUGCAAUUAGAGGAAGAAUGACCCUUGAUCAAAAGGAAUCUCCAUGAUCAAAAGGAAUCUCUAUGGGCCCAUCUAACAUAAUAGAAAAUAUAAACAUCGUCGGAAUUGAUCAACCGACCUAGCUCUUGGAUUGGUGGAUGGGACUGUAUGUGUUCGGAUUGACCAAACCUCACACCCGGGCUUAGGACGCGGUCGGGUUAGGGUAAUUCGUCAAUGAAAGUUUUAAUGAACUUUUCUUAGUACUGUUUACUUUUAACGUUAAUAAUAUUUUUAUUUUAAAAAAUCACUCAUGGUAUUAUUCACUUAUAAUACAUUUUUGUCAUUUUAGUUAAAACUCAAAAUUUUCAAAUCAUUUUUAUUAUUUUUCCUUUCGUCAAUCAAGUUCAACUUAUACUCCUCUUAACAAAGAAAAUUUCAAGUGUAACAUGUGUAUACAAUCAUUUACUUAUCUUUUUAGGUGUAACAUGUGUAUACAAUCAUCUACCUAUCUUUCUCAUUACUGAAAUUUUGUGAUCAGUGGAGUAGCAAGAAUUGUGGUCCAAGAGGGGCCCAACACGCAUUUCUUAUUUUUGAAAAUUUAAGCAUAUCUUGCUUUCGACCAACUUUCGUUUAGGUUUUGAAUGAUGAGUAUCCACAAAUCUAGGACCUAAACUUGCGAUAUUACGCCCACAAAAUAAGUGAGGGAGUCAUAAAUUUUGGAAUGUGAUUUCCAUACUUCUUUUUCUCCUUCUACACUAUAUUUAUUCUGAUUGUUAAAUUGAAUAAAUCAGAACAGUAUUUACGAACAUUAAUACAUAAAAAUGUGUAGAAUGAGAAAAAAAAAUGUGUAAGAAUCAUUUUCCUAAAUAAUAUAAUAAAAAAAUAAUUGUGUAAAACCAUAGCGAAAGCUUCAAGGAAUAACCCCCAGUCUCUCAACCUCUUCCUCUUUCUCGCUAUCUACUCAAAGCUCCAUGGCUGCCAGCCUCCUGAACUCCACCAGAGCUCUGAGCCUACCAAAAAACUCAAAGCUAGCAUGGUAUUAAUUUUUUGAACCUGAGAAGAAAAAAAAAGAAAAAAAAAAGGUCAAGAUAGGCCUGAAACCAUUGUAGUCCUUUCAUAGCUCCGCCAAUGCGUGUAAUGAGAGAAAUAUAUACAUAAUUAUAUACAAGAAAUGAUAGAGAACUUUUUCUACUUUCCAACCUAUCAUCCAUGCAUAACUCAUAUCUCCAAUCCAUCCGCGUUGCACCCCUAUUUCUAAACUGCACUUCUAUAAGAGUUUGAACUGGAUCAAGUCACUAUAUGUUUGUGAUGGGCCAAGUUAACUUGAUUGGGCUUAUUCACAAUAAGACCCAUAUGCUAUUCAGCAACAACGUUGACUUAAUUUCCGGUGUUUGGACUGCUAACUUGAUAUUUGAUUAAAUUCUAUUAUCCAUCCUUACAUAAAUUAAUCCUAUUAUCUUAUUCCUAAAUAUAGCUUGUAACAAAGUCGUUUUCUUUUUAUCCGUAACACCUACGUUUAAACAAAGCAUAUAUUAAAGCCAUUAUUUUGUCACAAUGUCACAAGUGAAAAUCCCAAACCUCUCCGGAUCACCUAUAAAACGAAGCCAAUUUUAACAUGCCCAAAUCCUCCCCUCCAUCUCCCACCAUCUCUGCCUCUCAUCUACCCACCAUGGACGACGGCGGACAGCACCAUGGAUUUAAACUCACCCCUGAACUCAUCGGCCUAAUGGGCGUUGCAGCCGGAGCCAUAAUCGUCGCGACGUACCAAUGCCUUGUCAACCACAUUUGUUGCAGCCAAAUGCGCGUAGAAUACAACAUACAACAAGAACAAACACAAAAUGAACAUGAACAGCGUCUUCAAGGGCAUCACGUCAACCAAAACCUCAGAUCAACAACUGCACACAGCGUUAACUCGCCCUCCUACGAUCAGUUGAUCCCGGUUUUCAAGUACACCAAGGAAUGCAGAGAAGGAACCUGCGCCGUUUGUUUGUGUGAAUUUACCGACGGCGAGAACAUCCGUUUACUGCCGGAAUGUGUGCACUUGUUUCAUGUGGGGUGCAUUGACAUGUGGCUCAGCUCACACUCUAACUGCCCUCUUUGUCGAACUGAUAUUAUUCCUAGACGAGCACCGCAGCACGUUGUUCCUCCUCCGCAAGAUGUUGUGACUCCUCCUCCGCAGAAUACUUUGCCUUCACCACAACAUGUUGUGAUAUUGAUGCCAAAUUUCGGCGCGGUUCAUAAUAUGAGUACUUGAUCUUUGGAGUCAUGGAUUGAUGGCUUUUAUUUUUCAGUUGAUUAAGCUACUUUUGUUUAAAAGAGUGUAUCUAGUUAAGACUUGCUCAAAUUAGCGGGUGUUUUGCCGAAUGAAAAAAAAUGGAGGAGGUUUCAUGUAAGUGUGAUGAUUUUGCCGCUCCAAUUUAGCUUCUCACGCGCUCUAACUUACUUAGCUUAUAAUUAGGGGUGUGAUAUCCACACAUCCUUCUAAUUUUUAGUCGUCGGAUCAAAUGAAUUGAAGAAGAUCAACGGACAAAAAUUAACAAAUGAUGAGUAAGAAGUAAAAAAUAGUGUGUGGAUAGCUCGCCCCUAUAAUUAUUAUACACUUGUAAUGGCGAAACCUAAAAAUGAGAGUCAUUUUCUUUUCUCAUUGCGAUGGACUAUAGGAUUGGUGUAAAAGUCGUCCUACCAGUUGCGCGCCGAAUUAUAGUUGUCUCUCAAUCAAUCCAACCUGCCAAACUUGCACAGCGAUAGGCAUCACCAGUUGUUCUAUAGCUAGUCAACUUCAAGUUUUGUUUCUUGUUCAUCCGGGCCAUACUUAGUGGAACUGUGGCCCAAUUUUGUAUCUGGUUUAAUCCAGUCUGUUCUAUAUCCAUCACAGAGGACCCAAGUUCAGACAAGAUCCCUUAUUAAUAGGACCAAGACAAAGCUGGUGUAAAAAAAUACCGACUUCAAGGUUUGUGAUGUUGUUGAGUUUAUACUUUGGUUUACAGCUUGCUUUUGAUAAGGGUGAUACUAAUCUUAGUAUUGUUAUUGUUAUGUUGUUGAAGCAAACGUUGUUAAUUUCCAUCCUUUGGACACAAUCAUGCAUAGCUAUAUAUUAAUGAUGAGACAAUUGAGGAGAUGUGAGUUGAAACACAUUUACAGAGAGAAGAAUACUGUGACGGAUCAUUUGGCUAACACAUUUACAAAGAGAAGAAUAUUGUGACCGAUCAUUUGGCUAACUAAGGUUUUAAUAUGGAUAUUAGCGUUCUUGUAUUUGAUGAGUCUCUUGUUUGGAUUAGACCAGCUCUCAUAGAUGGUGAUGCUAGAGUCCCUCAGGCUCAGUUUGUGUAUGCUGAUAUUUUGAAGUUUGCUCUUUGAGUUGUAUUCCUCAUUCUUCCUAAAGAAAAUAUAUAUCAACUUACUCAAUAUCUAUCCAUAAAUUUUUCAGUGCGGUCAUAACUCUGCUAUGAAUGCUUCUAAUUUAUCCAUACUAGCCCGUAUGACAUAUCAUUGCAUUUAAAUUAUUUUUGACACCCCAAAAUAGUGAUAACACAUGCCUCGGUUACUGUUUUUGAAAUGAGAGGAAUGCAUGACUACGAAUUUGGGUUGCCAACAAUAGUUCUCUACCACAUAAAUAUAGCAAAAUUAUAUGUAUCUUGAAUGUGAGAUGUUCAUUUCCAACUAUUAGAAAGUACACUAUCUAAUAUAAAUUGUUGCGUAAUAAAUAAUUAGUGACGCGAGAGAAUGACUAACAAAUCAUAUCUCACCAUGAUCAUACUAACUGUGGUAAAAUAUGGAUCCAUCAUGAAAUUACUUGAAACUUGUCCUCAAACCCCACACACGUUCCCAUUAAUAAUUGCUCUUCACAAACACAAAGAAAACUCCACCGCAACACCUCAAACAAACAAAAACACAAAUAGAACUCCAAAACCUCACCCUCUCUCUCCCUCUCUCUCCCUCUCUCCCUCUCUCUCUCGCUCUCAUCAUGGACAGCGCACCCACCGUUCUAAACAAACCACCGCCACCUUUCCUCAUGGACAGCGCACCCACCGUUCUAAACAAACCACCGCCACCUUUCCUCAUGGACAGCGUACCCACCUUUCUAAACAAACCACCGCCACCUUUCCCAGCACCGCCUCGGAGCGUCGACUUCUCCGCCCUUGAAUUUAUCCUCGGCCUCAUCGCGGUUAUCACCAUCCCUGCUCUCGUCUACGCCUUCUUCUUCGCCAUCAAGUUCCCUCCAAACCCUUUUCGCCGGCGACCCCACCGG
rnacentral:lncRNA from 1 species